CCCUCCCUCCCCAGCCAGAGACUCCACCAAUCCGGAGAGGCGCCUCCGAGCCCUGCCGGCGCUGGAGGUAAAGUUCAAAAGUCUAAAGCCAAUGAACUAUUCUCCAACUCAGACCCUCUCGAACAAUCAGUGUGAGGAUUUUCAUAAAUAAGAAAUACCUGGGUUAUCUACCACCAUGGAAAAGACCCCACACUGCCAUCUAGAAAUCAUCUUUCAUUUGAAUGAGGCCAUAGUGUGGCUGACCCUGGUGGAGCUCAUUGGGAGAAGACAGAAAAAGACACCUCCCUCUCUGCAAUGUCAAGGACUGCUUCAGAUUAAUGUUAUCACUGAUACUAGCAACCCAAAAGGAGGAUGGGAGAAACAGGAUGAAGGUGGGACCAUGAUCUUGUCCUUUGCUCUGCCCCAAUCAGCAGAGCAGAACUGGCACAAAGGGAGUGCAGGUUGCACCUCUCCAAAGAGUACCGGGAGCUGCCACUCCACUGUAUUAUCCGCAAUAGAAAUUUUGAUUGAGUCAGUCAGAAUUCCUGCAGGAGCUGCAGUGCAGACUUUCUACCCAACUUCCAGAGAUUUAAAGCUACGGUAUAGGCCUGUAUUUGCUACUUUUUAAUGUCAGUUGUCACAUAUUCCUGUCUGAUGGAAUAGCAUCUGACUGGCCAUCUCUACACUAUCUAUUGAUAGCUAUUCACUAUCUAAUGUACUCCCAUCAUAUUUUCUUUUAACUUUUGCCUUUCAAAAUUAUAUAAUUCUAGUCAUUUUAAUUUUUCCUCUUUUGGAAGUAUCCAUGUCUUUAAUUAGUUUUGUUGACUUAUCUGGACUUUUUUUAAUCUCUUCUAUAUCCCUUUAGAGAAGAGGUAACCAAAUUGAACACAUUAUUAAAAUCAAGAGUAUACCACUGAAUUAAUAAGCAGAAUAUCAUUUCCAUAUUAGUCUCUAUCCCCUUCUUAACACAGUCUAACAGCUUCUUUUUUUUACUCCUACUAUGCAUUAAGAAAUAGAAAUCUAGAAUAGUUCCUAGAUAUUUUCCCUAAGAAGUUACACAUAAUCUAGCAACCUCAGGUGUGUCCAAAAACUUUAAAUUGUUUCUUUCAAUGAUUAAAGGGCAAUGACACACUAUGUGAAUUACCUUCCACUAGUCUAGAGUAAAUUUCAUCUGAAAUAUUUCUUAUUUUUCUACUUUUUAUGGUACUUCUUUUUUCUCCUCCCUGUGCUCCCUAGCUGACUAACCUAAAUAAUUUGCAUGUCUGUUCCCCACCAAAUGUUGACAACCUUGCUAUUCACCUGUCUUCCAAAUCAUUAUAUAUAUUGAACUCCAUUCCUACCAUUAUUAAUCACUUCCCAUGCUGAAAAUUGCCAUUUAUUCCAAUCCUUUGUUUCCCAUAUCUUAACCAGCAUUUAGUCUUUCAGGACUUUUUGUCUCUUAUGCCAUCAUUACCAAGGAUCCAAUCCUGCUCCCACGAAAGUCAAUAUCAGACUCAUUUUGAGUUCAGUGGAACAGACUCAGGCCCUAAGUUUCAUCUUCUGAAUUAUUUUAUAAAAAGACUUGACAGUCUAAAGUUAUAUACAUCGGUUCCAUAUUGUGUUAACUCAACGAAUUCUAACAGGCUAGAGAAAUAUAAUUAACCCUUGCAGAAGCCUUGCUGAUUUAUAUCAAUCGUGUUAUGCUCAUCUAAGGACUUAACAACUCUGUAAUGAUUUUCUUACUGUUUCUUUUCUGGUAUUGAAAUACAGCUCACAUGUCUAUCAUUUCUAUGAACAUCCUUGCCGCUUUUUUAUAGAUUUUUGGCCACCCCCUAGUAUCAUAGCUGUUUUAAUGGCAAAUGAUAAAUGUUAAUAUUUUAAUUACUUCAUUCUUUAAUUCUUCAGAACUCUUGGAUUUGUACCAGUCCUGGUGAUUUACUACAAUUUAUCUUGAGUUGUCCCAUCACCUCUUCUAAUUAUACCUCUAUUUCUAUCAGUGCCUCAGUUUCAUUACCUAUAAAGUGUAAUCCGGGGAUAAGUACUUCCUCAUCAUUUACAGUGGGGAAGCCUUUGAAUGAAAUAAUUUAUUUUCAGUGAAACUUCUCAUGCUCUUUGAUUGCUCUUGCAGUCUGGCAAAACCAGUGGCCCUACCACAGGCUUGCUGCUCCUAAUGUAUUUAAAUAAUUGUUUAAUUGUCAAUUCAGGCCUAGAGAAUACAAGUCACUUCUAAAAGUUUGAUUUUCCACAUACCACACUAAAAUGGCUGUUUUACCAAAAGAGCAGCUUAUAAUUAAGUAUCAGCUACUUAAGUUCUGUGUCUGACUUGAGUUUAGACCUUACACGAUUUCACAGGCAAUGUUGUGACAAGGUUUUUGGCUAGCAGACAUUGAGAUUAACCACAACGCAUAUUUGACCAUGUUAGAAAUUGUAGUCUGCAGUGAGAGUGAUUCAAGUAUAAGCGGCCAUAUUCUCUGAUUUUAUUUUAUUUUUAAAGGAAGCCACGGCGUAAUAGCAUUGGUAGUCUGCUGCUAAAUCAAAGAGUUUUGGGGAACAACAAUUUACAAAACUUUCAGACAGUGAAUUUAUUGGUAAAAUUCUUUCCUGACAUUUCCCAAUGGAGCUCAUUUACAACCUCUCAAGUGAAAAUAGUUGAAUUAAUUUCAGCCUAGUUUCAAAUAGGUCAUUUAAUAAAAAUGACCAAAGUUCAUAUUGUACAUUUAUGGCUGGAAAAAAGUCUUUGCUUAAGGUGAACUCUGCUAUAGAGUAGAUUUAUUAACUAAAAUUUCCACUAAAGAUAGUCCCUUAAAUUGAUAUGUAUUCACAGGUACAAGUUAGUGGUUCAAAUCUUAUAUUAAAUUUAGGGGACUGUCUUUAGUCCUUAUACAUAUAUAUCUCCAAAUGGCAAGUUACUCAAUUUACAAAACUUUGGAUUAGGUGUUGAGAACCCUGUACUAAUAGACAUAAAACUCACACUGAAAUGAAUGUGUAGGAAGUAGCCAUUCAUCAGACAAAGAAAUAGUGACCUUUAACAAGGUCCCUUAUAUGUACAAGAAUGCCCAACAUCAUGAAUUGUGGCAAGUGUUCCUUGCCUAUCUGGAUAUUUUACCUCAGUGUACCUGUUUAAAAGUGGUCUUUUAAAAGUAGAUGCUGAUCUACUUAAAUAGGGUAAAAAGUAUUAGGUGAAAAGGGUGCAAGAUCAGGUUCACUCUUGGCAGUAGAGAGUAGCACAAACUGCACAGGCAUGUACCAACCUGGCCAAACUGCCCUCGUUCAGGGACUUCACCAGUCAGAGGCAGCUUUAUCUUCUUCUGGCAGAUCCCUACGAGAUUUGCAGAAUCAAUACAUCCCUCAGCCACACUAGUUGUUCUGUCAAUGCUGCCCAUUUUGAGAGCUGUGUUGGCCUGGAAGCUACUCAGGAAUGAAGUUUCUGUGGUGCCUUGUGCCACCGCAUCCAACUUUCUGCUUCCAGGGGCUCUCCACCUAGGUAAAUCUUGGCUGUAGAAUCAGGAGUUUCAGUGUUCUCUUGAUGUUUCCUUCUUUCCUGUUUCCUAAUCUUUCUCCAUAUCUACCUCCUCAAUUUUCUCUUCACCAUUUGUGCUGCUUCCUCUACCAGCUAGCUCUUCUUUUUGUCUUCUGGCUGUGCCAACUCUCAUCAGCUGCCUCCUGCACUUUGGUGUAGGCUUAGUGCCCAAAGAACAGUGGAGAAUCAAGUCCACUUUCUCCAAUUUAAUAUUCCAAGCAAAGUUCCAAAAUUUUGCAUAAAUUAAACUGGCAACUUAUUUUUGGAACACUGCUUCUACAAGACAUUUGCUGGAGAAAAAUGGGGACCAAGAACUGUGUUACAGACUUGGACUUUCAUGCCAGAUGUUGGCUCUUUAUUGGGGUGAUUAAUUUUUAUAAGGUCGGUGUGUGUCUGACUGUGUUGUAUAUUGUAUGUAUAAAUAUGUAUAAAAUGGAGAUAUCAGUAGUGACUUUUGUUCAGAUAAAGUUACACAUACAGGAAGACUAAAAUUCUUGUUUCAUACUGAAGUGAUUUAAUUUGGUUUCUAAAUUUGGCACACCAUUCAAAGAACAACAGUAUUUUGUAUUUAAUCUUAAAAUAAAAUAGUUUCUAAUUUUACAGAGGAAACAUUUACAGAUGCUUUCUUUUCGAAAAUUUGCUCUGUUUUUCCUCACACUUCUUUGUAUAAUUCUAGCUAAACAAACACAGUUACCACAAACUCCAAAAUAUCACACACACAAACACACACACAACAUCUUAAAUAUACGCUACUUUUGACAUUUUAAUUUUAAUGACAUAGGUUUUCAUGAAUAAAGAGAAUGUCUAAUUGAGCUACAUAAAAAAUAAUCAUCUGAACUCUUUAGUUCUAUCAGCUAUGUCCAUUUUCUGACACUACCUGUACGCCUUCCUGAUUCCUCAGCUCCACUACUCACAGAGACCAUUAGCAGACCAGGAAGCAAGCUGGGCAGCAGAGAUAUAGGGAGUGGGUAAGAGGAAUGGGGAGCUGUGAAGGGCUGAGUAAAGAUGUGGUUGUGAGGAUAAGGUGAAUGAGGAAGGAUAUGAGGAGUUGAGUGGAGCGUUCGAGAAAUGAGGAAGCAUUUAGUAGGACUAUGAACUACUGCACAGGUGUACUCUGGGAUAAAUUACAGGCAACCUUUAACAUCACUCUCUUGAUUACAUUGUUUCACCUUUAUGUGGUUCUUACAUGUGUUAUAUUUUGGUAGUUCAUUAGGGUAUAGCACUACCAACAUAUAUUUUCCAAACUCUUUUGUUCAGCUUUAAUACUAACUGCUAUAAAAAUAAAGAGAAAAGUAUUGAAAUGACGCUGCACACUUUUAGAUUACCAUAAAGUGUCCCACAAGAUGAAAAUAAUUGAAAAUACAUGGUAACAAUGUCACCCUCUCUUUUAACAUACAAACAAUUUUUUCUUUAAUGUAUUUCUUGUAUAUUAGUAUUCAUAACCAAAACUGCAGUGAUCAAAUUAUAAGAUCAGAAAAUGACUCCAUGAAUAGAUAAAUGAGGAUACAGACUGGUCUAUUGAACCCAAUAAACCUUAAUUUUUAAGCCCCUGAUCCUGUAAUCAGAUCCAUUAGUGCAGACCCUUAGCCUGUUUGGAGCUCCAUUAUUCCGCUAAGGCAUAUCUUCCUGUAGGGUCAGGAUCUAAGGAUCUAACUAAAGCCAACAUAUUUUCGUUUUUGAAUGAAGGUUGGUUUUAUGUUCCCAAGUGGGAAAAGUAUAAAAGAAAAUAUGGGAAAAUGCAUACAGAAGGCAAGACUUGAUUUCAGUUAUUCAGUAACUCCAUUGCAGUCAGUGCAGUUACUCCAGAUUUACACUAUCAGAAUCUUGCCCCAGAAUCUUUUGUCCCUGUAGAUUUCUGUACAAAGUAUAUUCUGUACAUUGGGGCAUAUCUUACAAUCAAUUUGUAGGCAGAAUUUCUUAUUUAAAUGGGGAGUUCUGCUUAAAAUCUGAUGGUACUUAUUGGCCCAUUAUUUGUUAGCUUAUUUUUUAUCAGUUUCUAAAUCUGGGAAGAUUUUAGGAACCAUAUUUUUGGCCAGGAAUAACGCAAACCAAGAAAAAUAAUACUGAUAAUUUAUUAUUAUUAUUUUGUUCUCCAGUUUUUAAUCAGGCAACAAUUUCAGCAAAGUGGAUUGACAGAGAACACAAGGAAACCAAUCAUAACACUCAUUUACACAGUUUAAAAAGAUAUUACACUAGUAAUAUUAGUUCUACACAUUCAUAAGUGAUUGUGGAUACCAACCAUUAAAGUUUAUAUUAAUUAUUGUCAGCCAUUUGGCAUAUUUCUCAAUUUAAUACUUUUAUGUAAUGCCUAGGCAUCAUUUCACUGUUCUCAUAAAGUGCAGCUUGGGCUUAAUGAAAAAGAAUGUAUGACAAUAACAGUAACAAUGUGAAAAGUAGCAGAAGUAGGAUGUUCGCUGGACUGUGUAUUCAAAUACUUCACUGUGUGUUGUCCCACUCUGGACCUAAAAUGGCUGUUUUGCAGGAUGUUGUUGCUUGGUGACCAAAAGUGCAUCUCCUAGACCACAGAGGGAUGUGAACAUUCAGAGAUUGAUUUGUUCCUGUUGCUCUUGAGGAGACCAGGCCAGUAAAAUAGAAGAAGCCUACAUGUAACUAUCUAAAUAUCCCACUUGCUUGCAUAUUUAAAUUGAUAUUUAAAACAGGCUUGUGAUUUUGGGAUGCUCACCAAACAAGCAAUGGGAAAAAUGGAACAAAACCUAGCAUGUCACUGCCCAUGAAAUACAAAAAGUAGACCAAGCCUCAGCUACUCUAAGCCUGCAAGAUACCCUUGCUUCAAUUAAGUCUGCGUUGUAUGUCUAGUCUGUUCCGGUGCAACCUCCCAGUUGCUAUCAGUCUCUCUUUCUUUCAUUAGAAUCAAGUAGUUAAUUAGCCCCAGUCUGUCCUCUCCCCUUCUCUCUUUCCCUUUAACGCAGCAGUAAUGAUGUCUAAUUACCAGCAGCAGUGGAUUACAGCACCAUCAGGAGCAAAUCUCUGUAGCUGACAGCAACAAACCUUAGAGCUUCAAGGAGAGAAUAAUUCCUAACAACGUAGUUGCAUAUUAUUUGCUUAUUUUUUAAUUUUGAAGUUAAAAUUGUAACUUAAUCUAAGUAAUGCAGAGAGAGUGCUUGUGCUGGCCAGAAUUACCAUUGAUGAUUAAUUGUACAUUAAUUACUUCUACCUCUUGAGAGAUCAAGUGAUGGAGAAAGUUUUUACUCUUUUAGGCUUUGAUACUGUUUGUGGCUGUUUCUGUGGGCAGGAGGAGCUCAGAUUUCUGUGACAACAGCAAGACAAAAAUGGCAUAAGUAAAAACUAAACAAUAGGGCUAGUUCUGAAUUAUCAGAAAUGAAUAAACUCUUCAAUAGUUAGUGUGGAUUUCACUAAAUGAAUGAAAGAGUGGGCUUUUGAGAGCUAAACAACACUAACUUGUAAGGGUGCCAUCUGAAAACAUCAGCUUACUCCUAUAUAAAACAUAAUUUUGAGUUAUAGAGAGAAAUCCUAGCACCAUUUAAAUCAAUGGGAGUUUUGUCAUUAACUUUAAUGGGUCCAGGAUUUCAUCCAUAAUAUAUAAAACAAUUCCUUUUGGAGCAUUUGGUACUCUUUGGCAUAUAGUAACAUAUCAGACAAAUAGAUGCCACUCUACAGAUCUGCUUAAACUAUGCUACUUCCAUUUGUGAAUGGAGUAUGAAAUUGAUUGCAUGUGUUUAAGUGGGGGAUGACAUUUGUUUUUAGUAACUGAUAAGUCGUAUCUGAAUGCUGUGCAUACUCUUUUCUUGUUUAUUCUGUGAAACAAAUUUUGGAAACCAAACACUCAGGCAAAUGGAAGUCAGUGGACGUAUUACCUGAGCAAAGACUGCAGGAUCUGUUACUUAAUAUUUUAUGUUUAAUAAUUCAAUGUAAUGCAGAAAUACUUCAAGUUUU